rnacentral:misc_RNA from 1 species
GAUGAAGAACGCAGCGAAAUGCGAUAAGUAGUGUGAAUUGCAGAAUUCAGUGAAUCAUCGAAUCUUUGAACGCACAUUGCGCCCUUUGGUAUUCCUUAGGGCAUGCCUGUUCGAGCGUCAUUUAAACCUUCAAGCUCAGCUUGGUGAUGGGCGACUGUCCUCCCCUCGCGGGGGGACUCGCCUCAAAAACAUUGGCGGCCGGUACAUUGGCUUCGAGCGCAGCAGAAACGCGGUCUCGAGCCCGGUGGAUCGGCUCCCAUAAGCCUAUUCUUUUAUUUUGACCUCGGAUCAGGUAGGGAUACCCGCUGAACUUAAGCAUAUCAAUAAGCGGAGA